NGCCCCCCCGAUACGCAGCCUCUCCACUACCGGUAGCGGCUCCAGCUCGGGUGCUCCUGGUCCCAGUGGGUUGGCACGUCAGAACAGCACCUCACUGACUGGCAAGCCGGGAGCCCUGCCUGCCAACCUGGAUGACAUGAAGGUAGGUGGGCGAGCCCUUCCUGCUGGGACACUGGGAACCCCGCCAGGCUGGCCUUCCCCCUGGGGUCUGGCCUAGUGUUUCUAUGUGGGGAAAGCAGCCGGUGUAAGAUCCACGGCGGUGGUAGGUAGAGCAGAGCUCCGGACUCCGGUCUCCUCCAGCAGAGGCCCUUAGAACCUGCUCCAAGGCUCGCCUGGCCCUGGUCAUCGUGAUACCUGCCUUGUCAUCACAGUCCUUACCAUUAAGUACCACAGCCGGCGUCUGUCUAGGGCCUUGGGGUUUACCAAGCCUUUUUAUAUGACUGCUCUUCCUUCGCCUUUGCCGUGCGGCAUGAGAAAUAGGGACUGUCCCCACUGCCUCGGGAUGAGCACGUGGAGGUGUUGAGGACAGAGGAGCUCGUCGGAGGUCUCAGACCCGGCCGAUGGCAGAGCCAGGAUUCAAAUGUGGGGCCGCCGACUUCAAUUCCCCACCUUUUCUACUUUGUUAGCGCCCCACUGAAUGUGCUGCACACACGUGGUUCAUCUGCCUGGGAAAAUAGUUUGGGGCUUGGGACACUGACCCUGCUCGUGUCCUGGGACCUCAGAGGGUGGGUCAUGCUCAGGCCCUGGCCUGUUUCUUCUGCCCUGAUCAGAAGAUGGAACAGACCAAACUCUCCCUGGAGAGUUUGUCCUCAGAAGCAGACCAGCCCCUCCCGAGUCAUGAUCCGACCCCAGUAAGAUGCAGCCCUCGUGUGGGUGGCUAGGCACAGGCUCCAGGGUCCAUCAGACCUGGGUUUAACAUCUAACUCUGCUGCUUGCUGGGUGAGAUCUGGAAGUCAUUUUACUUUUGUGGUCUGUUUUCUCACCUGUAAAAUCCAGUUGGUUCAAUUAAGUAUUUAAUUGAGCACCAGGUACUACGCUGGGGCUGGGGACAGCUGAGGGACCAUCAUGCCCAGAUGGAGGAGGAUGGGCCCAGGACACACACACACACGUCUUACCCUCCAGGCUGUGGGAGGGGCAGGGGCUCCUGUAUCUGAAGUACCAGCAGGACCCAGACGAAUGAAUCCUGGUGGACAAAAGGCUCGUCCUUCCCACCUCCCCGACUGCCCUCCUGCCUGGACCCAGUUCUCUCUGUCGCUCUGCGGCCCUGACUCUCGGCCCCUUGCAGGUGGCGGAGCUGAAGCAGGAGCUAAAGCUGCGGUCACUGCCCGUCUCAGGCACCAAGACAGACCUGAUCGAGCGCCUGCGUGCAUACCAGGAACAAGUCGGCCCUGCCCCAGGAGCCCCCAAGGGCCCUGCUGCCCCCUCCAUCUUGCCCAAGGCUGGUGAGGUGGUGGUCGCCUUCCCGG
rnacentral:lncRNA from 1 species